rnacentral:rRNA from 1 species
UUGAACGCUGGCGGAAUGCCUUACACAUGCAAGUCGAACGGCAGCACGGGAGCAAUCCUGGUGGCGAGUGGCGAACGGGUGAGUAAUACAUCGGAACGUGCCCAAUCGUGGGGGAUAACGUAGCGAAAGCUACGCUAAUACCGCAUACGAUCUACGGAUGAAAGCGGGGGAUCGCAAGACCUCGCGCGAAUGGAGCGGCCGAUGGCAGAUUAGGUAGUUGGUGGGGUAAAGGCUCACCAAGCCUUCGAUCUGUAGCUGGUCUGAGAGGACGACCAGCCACACUGGGACUGAGACACGGCCCAGACUCCUACGGGAGGCAGCAGUGGGGAAUUUUGGACAAUGGACGCAAGUCUGAUCCAGCCAUUCCGCGUGCAGGAUGAAGGCCUUCGGGUUGUAAACUGCUUUUGGACGGAACGAAAAGCCAUUUCCUAAUACGGGGUGGUCAUGACGGUACCGUCAGAAUAAGCACCGGCUAACUACGUGC